CAUAAUCUAAUGAUAGAAAAAGAAACAAUGCGACGACUCGUUUCUUUGUCGCGUUCUUCUUCUCCGCUGCCGACCGGUCCGGCGAUAUACCAUCCCCCCGUUGCUGGAAGUCAAGAGGCUGCUUUACGUUGUCGGUUGAUCGAGCCGUCGAUUCCAUCCCCGAAACCUGUUCUAUUCUUUGCUUCCUCAGCCGUUUCACGGUACUACUGUUUGUCGAAAUCUUGUGCACUGUUGUGAACUAAAAUGCACGAAUUGCUGAGGGGAAGAUGUCUGCUUUGGACUUGUUGGCUGGUUAGACCUGUUCCACAUACGAAUGAGAGACUGAAGCCGCCAGCACAGGUAAACGGAACGAUGUUAUAGAAAAGGGUUGACACUGUUGUAGAUUCCCAGCAGCGGAAAUUGUUCGAUGGAAGCAAAACUUUUGUUAAUGGAGUAGGAAGUUGGCCUCUCCUUGGUUCUCUUUCGGUGAUAAGAAAAGGACAAGAAUGGUGCUGUAGACAUCCAGAAAAGUAACUUGGAACAAGACACCACUAAAAUGUCUGGUAAUUCAACUUUUUUGAUUUGCUUAACUUUUUGAGCCCCCCCCACCCCCCGUUUUUUUUUUUUGUGUGUCUGCAGAUCAUCCCCUGACUGAUGUGGAGAAGAGGAGGAUCAAGUGGAGUGGAUGCCUGUGGGACCUUCUGCAGCCAGAAAUAAUUAAACCCACAGAAGAACCUCACAUGCCUGAACAUGGAAGCUUAUCCCCACCUACAAUUAAGACCACCGGCCUCCAUUGGCUUGUCUCCUCCAUGGAAAGGGACACCAUAGGUGCCCUGUCCACUGCACCAGAAUGAGCAUCAUUUCUUCAACAUGCAUCAACAGUAAAAUUAUUCUACACAGGUCACAACAAUUCCUGAAAAGGAAAAAAAAAAGGUUCCUGAUUCCCUCAAAACCAUCUCUGCAUUUCAGGCACUUGCAACCUUUAUUAUUUGUUCCAAGACUAUCAAAAUGAAAUCGAGGGCUAGUUUUACAAUAAAUUGUUUCUGUUUUAUUUAGUGUAUUAUGUAUGACUCUGUACAUGUUCCAAAGCAAAUAUACAAGCAUAUUUAUCUGCUCAA